UACGUCCAUAUCAUAUUGAAAGACUAGUUCUCUAACGAUCACCGAAGUUAAGCAACGUUGAGACUGGUUAGUACCUAGAUGGGUGACCGAUUGGGAAUAUCAGGUGCUGUAAU